UGCGUAGGUGGCUACGUGUGUCGGAUGUGAAAGCCCAUGGCUCAACCAUGGAAUUGCAUUCGAAACUGCGUAGCUUGAGUACAGGAGGGGAGAGCGGAAUUCUUGGUGUAGCGGUGAAAUGCGUUGAUGUCAAGAAGAACACCGGUGGCGAAGGCGGCUCUCUGGAAUGUUACUGACACUGAGGCACGAAAGCUGGGGGAGCAAACA
rnacentral:rRNA from 1 species